GAUGAACGCUGGCGGCGUGCUUAACACAUGCAAGUCGAACGGAAAGGCCUCUGCUUGCAGGGGUACUCGAGUGGCGAACGGGUGAGUAACACGUGGGUGAUCUGCCCUGCACUUCGGGAUAAGCCUGGGAAACUGGGUCUAAUACCGGAUAGGACAAUGGUUUGGAUGCUGUUGUGGAAAGUUUUUCGGUGUGGGAUGAGCUCGCGGCCUAUCAGCUUGUUGGUGGGGUAAUGGCCUACCAAGGCGUCGACGGGUAGCCGGCCUGAGAGGGUGUACGGCCACAUUGGGACUGAGAUACGGGCCAGACUCCGACGGGAGGCAGCAGUGGGGAAUAUUGCACAAUGGGCGCAAGCCUGAUGCAGCGACGCCGCGUGGGGGAUGACGGCCUUCGGGUUGUAAACUCCUUUCGCUAGGGACGAAGCGUUUUUGUGACGGUACCUGGAGAAGAAGCACCGGCUAACUACGUG
rnacentral:rRNA from 1 species